AAAUUGAAGAGUUUGAUCAUGGCUCAGAUUGAACGCUGGCGGCAGGCCUAACACAUGCAAGUCGAACGGUAACAGGAAGCAGCUUGCUGUUUCGCUGACGAGUGGCGGACGGGUGAGUAAUGUCUGGGAAACUGCCUGAUGGAGGGGGAUAACUACUGGAAACGGUAGCUAAUACCGCAUAACGUCGCAAGACCAAAGAGGGGGACCUUCGGGCCUCUUGCCAUCGGAUGUGCCCAGAUGGGAUUAGCUAGUAGGUGGGGUAACGGCUCACCUAGGCGACGAUCCCUAGCUGGUCUGAGAGGAUGACCAGCCACACUGGAACUGAGACAC
rnacentral:rRNA from 1 species